rnacentral:rRNA from 1 species
UGCGCAGGCGGCCAAGUGUGUGAGGCGUGAAAGCCCGGGGCUUAACCCCGGAAUUGCACCUCAAACUACAUGGCUAGAGCAUUGGAGAGGGUAGCGGAAUUCACGGUGUAGCAGUGAAAUGCGUAGAUAUCGUGAGGAACACCAGAGGCGAAGGCGGCUACCUGGACAAUUGCUGACGCUCAAGGGCACGAAAGGCUGGGAGCAAAAG